rnacentral:rRNA from 1 species
GAUGAACGCUGGCGGCGUGCUUAACACAUGCAAGUCGAACGGAAAGGCCCAAGCUUGCUUGGGUACUCGAUUGGCGAACGGGUGAGUAUCACGUGGGGGAUCUGCCCUGCACUUCGGGAUAAGCCUGGGAAACUGGGUCUAAUACCGGAUAGGACCACUUCUUGGAUGUUGUGGUGGAAAGUUUUUCCGGUGUGGGAUGAGCUCGCGGCCUAUCAGCUUGUUGGUGGGGUAAUGGCCUACCAAGGCGUCGACGGGUAGCCGGACUGAGAGGGUGUACGGCCACAUUGGGACUGAGAGACGGCCGAGACUCCUACGGGAGGCAGCAGGGGGGAAUAUUGAACAAUGGGCGCAAGCCUGAUGCAGCGGGGCCGCGUGGGGGAUGACGGCCUUAGGGUUGAAAACUCCUUUCGCUAGGGACGAAGCGUUUUGUGACGGUACCUGGAGAAGAAGCACCGGCUAACUACGUG